UAGGGAAUCUUCCGCAAUGGGCGAAAGCUUGACGGAGCAACGCCGCGUGAGUGAUGAAGGUCUUCGGAUCGUAAAACUCUGUUAUUAGGGAAGAACAAAUGUGUAAGUAACUAUGCACGUCUUGACGGUACCUAAUCAGAAAGCCACGGCUAACUACGUGCCAGCAGCCGCGGUAAUACGUAGGUGGCAAGCGUUAUCCGGAAUUAUUGGGCGUAAAGCGCGCGUAGGCGGUUUUUUAAGUCUGAUGUGAAAGCCCACGGCUCAACCGUGGAGGGUCAUUGGAAACUGGAAAACUUGAGUGCAGAAGAGGAAAGUGGAAUUCCAUGUGUAGCGGUGAAAUGCGCAGAGAUAUGGAGGAACACCAGUGGCGAAGGCGACUUUCUGGUCUGUAACUGACACUGAUGUGCGAAAGCGUGGGGAUCAAACAGG
rnacentral:rRNA from 1 species